UGCCUCUAAGUCAGAAUCCACGCUAGAAGCGGCGCUUGUCACUCCUCGACUGUAUUUUGACCUGCAGUAGGGGUGUCACUUCGGCACCCCCAGGGGCCCGUGUCACUUGCAAACCUCGGCUGGGAAGCGUCUCGGUUGGGGCAGCUUUGAAGUUCAAUUUCAAAUGGUCGUUGAGAAAAAUCCUUUGCAGACGAAUUAAAUACGCGACCGGGUCUUGUAAGUGGCAGAGUGGCCUUGCUGCCACGAUCCACUAAGAUUCAGCGCUUCAUCGCCUCGAUUCAG
rnacentral:ncRNA from 1 species